GGAGUAGCUGGGCACUGGGGAGCCCACCGGACUGUAAAUCCGACGCUUAUAGCUGUGCUGGUUCAAUUCCAGCCUACUCCA
rnacentral:tRNA from 1 species